rnacentral:rRNA from 1 species
AUUGAACGCUGGCGGAAUGCUUUACACAUGCAAGUCGAACGGUAGAGGGGGCAACCCCUCGAGAGUGGCGAACGGGUGAGUAAUAUAUCGGAACGUGCCCAGUCGUGGGGGAUAACGUAGCGAAAGUUACGCUAAUACCGCAUACGAUCUAAGGAUGAAAGCGGGGGACUCGCAAGAGCCUCGCGCGAUUGGAGCGGCCGAUAUCAGAUUAGGUAGUUGGUGGGGUAAAGGCUCACCAAGCCAACGAUCUGUAGCUGGUCCGAGAGGACGACCAGCCACACUGGAACUGAGACACGGUCCAGACUCCUACGGGAGGCAGCAGUGGGGAAUUUUGGACAAUGGACGCAAGUCUGAUCCAGCCAUUCCGCGUGCAGGAUGAAGGCCCUCGGGUUGUAAACUGCUUUUGUACGGAACGAAAAGGUUUCUAUUAAUACUAGGAGCUCAUGACGGUACCGUAAGAAUAAGCACCGGCUAACUACGUGCCAGCCGCCGCCGUAAUAC